UACGGAGGGUGCAAACGUUGCUCGGAAUCAUUGGGCGUAAAGCGAGCGUAGGCGGCCUCGUAAGUCGGAUGUGAAAGCCCUCGGCUCAACCGAGGAAGUGCAUCCGAAACUGCGGGGCUGGAGUGCCGGAGAGGGUGGCGGAAUUCCCGGUGUAGAGGUGAAAUUCGUAGAUAUCGGGAGGAACACCAGUGGCGAAGGCGGCCACCUGGACGGUAACUGACGCUGAGGCUCGAAAGCGUGGGGAGCAAACAGG
rnacentral:rRNA from 1 species